rnacentral:rRNA from 1 species
UAAGACAUGCAAGUCGAACGGACCAUAUAAUUGGGUAACCGAAAGUAUGGUUAGUGGCGAAAGGGUGAGGAAUAGAUAGGAACGUACCCUGUGCUCUGGGAUAGCGUCUGAAGCUUCGGCUUCUUCCGAAAGGGGCGGUAAUACCAGAUAAUGUCCUUCGGGACCAAAGAUUUAUCGGCAUUGGAGCGGCCUAUCUCCUAUCAGCUUGUUGGUGAGGUAACGGCUCACCAAGGCAACGACGGGUAGCGGGACUGAGAGGUUGGCCCGCCACAUCGGGACUGAGACACUGCCCGGACCUCCACGGAGGGCUGCAGUAACGGAUAUUGGGCAAUGGGCGAAAGCCUGACCCAGCAAUGCCGCGUGCAGGAUGAAGCCCCUAGGGGUGUAAACUGCUGUCAGGGGUCAGAAAGCUGGUUUCGGCCAGUUGAUCAACCCCAGAGGAAGUCACGGCUAACUUCGUGCCAGCAGCCGCGGUAAUACGAAGGUGGCAAGCGUUAUUCGGAAUCAUUGGGCUUAAAGGGCACGCAGGCGGAACAGUGUGUGUUGUGUGAAAUCCCCCGGCUUAACCGGGGAAUUGCACAGCAAACUGCUGUUCUUGAGGCAGGUAGGGGUGCAUGGAACUCUUGGUGGAGCGGUGGAAUGCGUAGAUAUCAAGAGGAACGCCAGAGGUGAAGACGGUGCACUGGGCCUGUCCUGACGCUGAGGUGCGAAAGCGUGGGGAGCGAACGGGAUUAGAUACCCCGGUAGUCCACGCCCGUAAACGAUGUCUACUAGGUCGUGGGUGUUCUGACACAUUCACGGCCGGAGCAAAAGUGUUUUAGUAAACCGCCUGGGGAGUACGGCCGCAAGGUUAAAACUCAAAUGAAUUGACGGGGGCUCACACAAGCGGUGGAGCAUGUGGAUUAAUUCGAAGCAACGCGCAGAACCUUACCUGGGUUUGACAUGCUUGGAUGCCUGCUCUGAAAGGAGUUAGGCUGCCUUCGGGUGAAACUUGCACAGGUGCUGCAUGGCUGUCGUCAGCUCGCGUCGUGAGAUGUCGGGUUAAGUCCUUUAACGAGCGAAACCCUUGCCGUUAGUUGCCAGCGAGUAAUGUCGGGGACUCUAACGGGACUGCCGGUGUUAAACCGGAGGAAGGUGGGGAUGACGUCAAGUCCUCAUGGCCUUUAUGCCCAGGGCUUCACACGUGCUACAAUGGCAAUUACAGAGCGACGCGAUACCGCGAGGUGGAGCAAAUCGCAAAAAAAUUGCCUCAGUUCGGAUUGCAGGCUGGCAAUUCGCAUGCAUGAAGUCGGAAUCGCUAGUAAUCGCGUAUCAGCAAUGACGCGGUGAAUGUGUUCCUGAGCAUUGUACACACCGCCCGUCAAGUGAUGGAAGCCGGGAGUACCCGAAGUCGGGUUGCUA